rnacentral:lncRNA from 1 species
AUACUCUACUUUGACAGUCCAACAUCUACACAAAUCUAAGUUGCAUUCUUGUAGAUUUCGAUUUUAACUUAUUUAACGAUUUAGAAACAAUUAAUCUCAAACCUGUGAGGCAGCAAUAAGAGAAGUUUCUCUCAUGUCAAUACCAAGAGCAAUAACAACUAAGGCAAGGCAAAAACAUAAAAAGCUUGAGAAUCAAAAUGCUAAACUUUUAAUAACUAUAAACCACUAUAAGUGUGUAUUGUAGCACAAUUGAAAACAAUAAAGACGUUUAGAAUUAGAACCAAAAUAUAACAAAUAAAAAUCUUGGAUGUACUUUUUUGAGAGAUGAAAACUAUAACAAUAAGUGUUGGAAGUCCUUGCAAUGUUCAUCAAGUCUGACCUGAAUUUCUCUUCACAAUCUAGUACAUUCAUGUGUAAGAUAUUAGACAAAAUAAUGCAUAUCGGACCCUAUUGUAAGAUAAACAUUUUAUCAAACACCUCAAAUGCAUGACAAGAUAAAUGUUUCAUGCAUAAAAAAUUAAUAUAUUUACAACUAAUUCAAGCUUUGUUAAAUUUGUAAAAAAAAUAAAUUUAAAAACUAAAAUUAUAGAUCUCAACUCAACAUAAACUCAUUCAAAAUAUAAAUAAUUACUUAGAGAAUAAAAAAAAUUCACACACAACUUCUUGAGUUAAAAAUAAUCGACAAAAAAUUCCAUGCUGAGACAGUAAAAAUUUGAAGGAAAAUCGGAAAAGUGUAAGAGGAACAUUGUAGUUUGUUUAGUUUGUGCUUGUUAAAAAUUGUCUCUCCCAAUUCAUACUUUUUUGUCAUCUAUAUUCUCCAAGUAUUUUUUUGUUUAUUGGAAGAGAAAGAAAGUGAAAAAAAACACAUAUAUAUAUAUACAUAUUAUAUAUAUAUAUAUAUAGAGAGAGAGAGAGAGAGAGAGAGAGAGAGAUUGAAAAUGAAUGAUUAGAUGAUAAGAGAGAAGUUUAAGAUGAAGAAAAAAAUUGAAAUGAGAAGGAGGGAAAUACGACAAAACCUUUCAUCCAAUAGUAACCCUCUAUCUCUUCCAUCUCUAACUCGUGGUCCAUGUCUUUAAUCGUGCACCUUCUUCAUUUCAUGGUAGCUUUUUGAAAAUCCUAAAUUUUUUCAAACCAAAUUGCAAUAAAAAGUUAGAGAGUGGAAAGAAUAAAUCAAACUCGGGAAAAUAUGGAUCUAGGUAAAAUUAAUAAAUAAAAACAUGAAUCUUGGUAAAACUAAUAAACAUAAAUAUGAGAUAAAACCCACAUUGUCAAAUAAAACCCAAAAAAUUGUGUUUGAACCAAAGGAUCCAGGUUUCAUUUGAUAUGUGAAGAAGAAACAUGUAGAGAUAAAUAAGAAACUGAAGGAGAUUUAGGCGGAAAUUGAAGGAGAAACAAAUGGAGGAAGGUUAUGAAGAGAGAGAGAGAGAGAGUGUUAUUUGUAGAAAAGGUGUCGAAAAAGAAACAAAGAGAUGGAGUGUAUUUUGGUGCGAAAGAAGUUUUGAGAAAUUGGGUGUCCGCCAUUUGUUAAGAAAAGAUAGGUUUGAG